AUUGAACGCUGGCGGCCGGCCUAACACAUGCAAGUCGAACGAGUGGCGGACGGGUGCGUAAUGUCUGGGAAACUGCCUGCUGGAGGGGGAUAACUACUGGAAACGGUAGCUAAUCCCGCAUACCAUCAGAUGUGCCCAGAUGGGAUUUGCUUGUUGGUGGGGUAACGGCGCAACAAGGCGACGAUCUCUAGAUGUUCUGAGAGGAUGACCAGCCACACUGGAACUGAGACACGGUCCAGACUCCUACGGUAGGCAGCAGUGGUGAAUAUUGCACAAUGGGCGCAAGCCUGAUGGAGCCAUGCCGCGUGUAUGAAGAAGGCCUGCGGUUUGUAAAGUACUUUCAGCGGGGAGGCGUUACCCGCAGAAGAAGCACCGGCUAACACCGUGCCAGCAGCCGCGGUAAUC
rnacentral:rRNA from 1 species